UACGUAGGGUGCAAGCGUUCAUCGGAAUUACUGGGCGUAAAGCGUGCGCAGGCGGUUAUGCAAGACCGAUGUGAAAUCCCCGGGCUCAACCUGGGAACUGCAUUUGUGACUGCAUGGCUAGAGUGCGGCAGAGGGGGAUGGAAUUCCGCGUGUAGCAGUGAAAUGCGUAGAUAUGCGGAGGAACACCGAUGGCGAAGGCAGUCCCCUGGGCCUGUACUGACGCUCAUGCACGAAAGCGUGGGGAGCAAACAGG
rnacentral:rRNA from 1 species